UCGUAUAUCUUGCUCCGCCGCGUUGCAGUCCUUCUCGCCUCUUAAAGUGGCGGAUCGCAGCGCCCCCGAUGCUCCGCCUCACAGCUGACCGGCGCAAGGCUAUUUCGGUGCCGUUUUCGCAUCCUCCUUGGAGCCAGCAAAUUUCUGAGGGACGUGGUGAGCGGUUGCUUCGUUUUGGCGCUUGUCCAAUUCGUGCCAUUUUCCUUGCCCCUUCGCGCCAGUUCUGACGCUAAGUGCCUGGGCAGCUGCAUUGCCGCUUUGGAUAUCGGCGGCAUUUACAAAGCCCGGCUCUCCGCUUCCCAGCUGAUCGGCGCUUACAGAGAUUCCGCGCCGAAUUUAAACCCUCGCACCGAAGCCGUAAGGCUAGCGAGGAACGGGGCAAGCGAAUUCUAGGCCCUGAGGCAUUUGGGCGCCAUUUUAAGGCCUCUAUCUAUCUCAAGAUGGCUGAAGCUUCGGUCCGCUCCAAGGCCAAGGGGAAACAUCAUCAUGAUGACCCUGGUGAAGGCCCUUCAACUGGCCAUAAGUCUAGGGUCAGGGCUACGUCCUCAGAUCGCUCCGCUCGCCCCAAAAGCUCUGCUCUUUCUAGGGAUGAAGACAGGCGUCACAAGGCCAUGGAGAAGGCCUUUGAAAGAGCCAGCUCUCAAGCAGCAAGGAGCCCGUUCAUCCUUCCUCUGCUCCAGCCUGCUCUCCUCGCGCCUUGUCCCCGGACAGAUCUGUCCAAGGAGACUCCUCCUAUGCUGCAGAAGUGGCAUCGGUGUUCCUAUCCCCUCUAGAGGAGCCUCAGGUUCAGGACCAGAGGGGCCCCUCCUCCACUCAGGCUACUCAGGGGCCUCCUCCUUCUUCUUCAGUUUCCGACGCCAGCCACCCUCUUCAGGCGGCUCAGUUGCCCCUGGAUAUGCAGGGAUCCCUGGCUGACCUCAUCUCAGAGGCUAUCGACCAGGGAAUUGCCCAAGGCAUUCAACAAUUUCAGCCAGUUGUUGCUUCUUCUGAUAACAGGCAAGUGGCCACAUACUCCCGUCAUCGUUCCCCUCACGAGGAAUCCGCUGUUGAUGCCUUUGACCGUGACUCCGCGACUCAAGACUCGCUUUCAGAGGAGGGGGAGUUACCUGAGCAAGACCUUUCUGAGGACGAGGGCCUUGAGCCUGAUCAGCCAGCAUUUGUGGGUCUCUUCAAACCACAUAUGUUUCGCUCUUUAGUUUACAAGGCUAAGACGACUAUCCGCCUAGGGCUCGAGAGUUCUUCCUCGACCAAUCUCCCUGAACAGGCUGACCCUUCUUCUGCUCUGUUCCAGGAGCCCAAGGUGCACUCACAUAUUAUCCCGGCUCCAAAGUUAUUUUCGGAGGUCUUAAAAUGCCAAUGGUCUUCUCCCAGCACAGGCCCUAUCCCCAACAACUUGGAUAGGAAGUUUUACAAUUUGGCUCCGGAAUUUUCCAACCUUUUGCAGGUACCAACCGUGGACUCACCCAUCAUAGCCUUGUCCACCUCUGCUCCCCCAACGGGGCCUCCUGAGGAUUAUUUGCGACCUGAAGAAAAGAAGGCCGAACGGACCCUUAUCAAGGGCCACCAAGCCUCCGCUUGGUCUAUCCAGGCUUCCUCGGUGGCAUCUUUCUUCAAUCGCGCAUCCAUUUUGUGGUUGCGCCAGCUACAAGAUCGCAUUCCUGCUUCAGACCACCGUUCUCAUCAGGACAUUAAUAAGAUCCUUGCAGCAACAGAAUUCUCCACUGAUGCCACCCUCACUGCCUCUCGAUUUUCCGCCAAGGCCAUUGGUACCUCUAUAACGUCGCGACGGCUCCUUUGGCUCCGGAAUUGGCAAGCUGACGCUAGAAACAAGUGGCAUCUGGCCUCUUCUCCUUAUUCGGCUGACAGGUUAUUCGGAGCUCCGCUGGAUCCACUGUUGAUCGAGACUAAGGACCACCGGAAGAUCCUUCCUUCCAUAGCCCGGCGUUCUGAAUUCCAUUCUCAAGGCUCCUUUCAUGCUUCAUCCUUUCGGGGCUCCGAUUCCAACUUCUCUCAGCACCGCUCUCCCCGAUCCUUUCCUUCCAGAGCUUCCCAGCAAUUUGGAAACCAGGUCAGACAGGGACCCCGUUUUCCACCAAAAUCCUCAUUUCGUGGGGGGAGGGGUCGCCCCUUUAGACGGUCCCGCUAAGGAUCUGUCUGAUUCCUUGAUUGGGGGCCACUUGUCCCAUUUUUGUAACCAGUGGGACUUAUCUGUCUCUGAUUUUUGGGUAAGAGAUACAAUACGAUUUGGCCUUAGACUUGAAUUUCAAUCCUGCCCUCCUAACCAUUAUCUCCGUUGCUCAGUCUCUCUUGACCCUAUAAAAAGGGCUAGAGUCAACCAGGCUAUUCAGCAUCUCCUGGCCAUUAGGGCUAUUCAGCCUGUCCCCUCUCUGGAGCGCAGCAGGGGGUUCUAUUCUCGGUUAUUCCUGGUCCCCAAAACCUCGAUUGGUUGGAGGGCUAUCCUUGACUUGAAGUCUCUAAAUCGGCAUAUCAAAUAUCGCCGUUUUAAAAUGCAGUCGCUCCAAACCAUUCUGCUCUGCAUUAGGAAGGGGGACUUUAUGUCUUCCAUUGACUUAACGGAGGCCUAUCUCCACAUUCCCAUUUUCCCUCCCCACUGCAAAUUUCAAAGGUUUUCCUACAAUGGCCAACAUUUCCAAUAUGCGGCUCUGCCCUUUGGUCUUUCUUCUGCCCCUAGGGUAUUCACUAAAGUCAUGGCGGCCCUUAUCGCCCACAUUAGUUCUAUCCCUAUUCGGACACUUUUUUAUUUAGAUGAUAUUCUCAUCCUGUCUCGAUCCCUGGACCAGGCCCAUGGGGAUCUAGACUUGGUGGUGUCCAUUUUGCGACGGCAUGGCUUCUCUAUUAACUGGGACAAAAGCCAUCUGUCUCCUACAACGUGCCUCCAGCACCUGGGGGCCGUCAUUAAUUCUUCUGCCCUCCAAGUUUCCCUGUCACAGGAGCAUCAGACGAGUCUCUCUGACCUGGCCUCCAAAAUUCGUAGGCGGGGCUCUGCCUCUCUAUUAGAUCUCUCUAGCCUUCUAGGAAAAUGGUUUCUGCUUAUGGCAUCGUGCCAUGGUCUCGCCUCCACAGCAGGGAGCUGCAGUGGCUGUUACUCCCUUACCAACGGCGUUGGACCAGCACCUCGGCAUCCAAAAUUGUUCUUCCUCCAGCAGUUUGAGACUCUCUGAGCUGGUGGACAUCGUCAGCCAUUUCCCAGGGCUCUUCGUUCGGGGACCAGUGCUGGAUUGUUCUCACCACAGAUGCCAGCCUCUCGGGCUGGGGAGCACACCUGGAAUCGCAUGUAGCACAAGGUCUCUGGUCCCAGGCGGAACGAACCCUGAACAUCAACAUCCUGGAAUUGAGAGCCAUUUACCUGGCCCUUCUCAGUUUCAAGCCUCAUGUUCUUGGUCGGGACGUCCUCGUCCUCACGGACAAUGUCUCGGCCAAGGCUCAUGUCAACCGCCAGGGGGGGGACUCGCUCCCGGUCCCUGAUGCGAGAGGCUCUCCAGUUGGGUCUCUGGGCAGAAGUCCAUCUGUCUUCUCUCCAUGCUGAGCACAUCUCGGGAUCGGCGAAUUCCCAAGCGAACCCCCUCAGCUGCUCCCUCAUCGAUCCGGCCGAAUGGAGUCUCCAACCCCUCCUGUUCGAGGAACUAUGCUCUCGGUACGGCCGUCCGACUGUGGACCUGUUCGCAACACCCGGCAAUUGGCAACUACCCCGCUUCUUCUCUCGAUUCCCUUCUCCGGGAGCGGAAGCGGUGGAUGCUCUUCGGAGUCCCUGGCCUCACGAACCGCUCCUCUACGCCUUUCCCCCUCUGCCCCCCUCUGUCUCCAGGGUCGUAAGGAAAUUGGUGGCGGAGUGGGCGGAGAUUCUUCUCCUGGCACCACACUGGCCUCGCCAUCCGUGGUUUGCCGACCUCAUGGCCCUGUCGGUUGCUCCCCACUGGAGGAUCCCCGACGACAGGAUCUCCCUCCAUCAGGGUCCGCUCCUCCACCCAGAUCCUCAGUCCUACCAACUGACCGCAUGGCGGCUGAGCGGCUCCUCUUAACCAGAGCUCAAGUUCCUCCGGACGCGAUCCCCAUCAUCCAGGAUGCUCGCCGUCCAUCUAUGCUCUGGAUCUAUGGCUCCACUUGGCGUGUGUUUUCCUCUUGGUGUCAUGGAAAAGGCGUUUCACCUACCGACAUUUCGGUGCCUCAUCUUCUAGGUUUCCUUCAACAGGGGUUUGCUGCGGGCCUUGCCCCUAAUACGCUCAGGCGACAGGUAGCCGCUUUAUUGUCGAUUCUUUCCUGUUCAUCAGCCACGCCCAUCACCAAUGAUCCACUCAUCAGAUCCUUUUUGAGGGGCGCCACCAAUCUCCGUCCUCCCACGGUUCACCGUUUCCCGUCGUGGGACCUAAACAAGGUCUUAUCUGCCUUGAUGGGUCCCCCAUUCGAACCCUUACGAGAAGUUGGUCUCAAGUUUUUAUCGUUUAAGGUUUCGUUCCUCAUUGCUGUGACCUCUGCUCGGCGCAUUUCUGAGCUGGCUGCCCUGUCCGUGCGGUCCGACCUCUGCAUCUUUCACACGGACAGGGUGGUUCUUCGUCUAGACCCGGCGUUCGUCCCAAAGAUUAACACCAUCUUCCACAGAUCACAGGAGCUCACGCUUCCGAACUUUUGCCCUUCUCCCUGCCGUUGCCAGUUCAUUUGGCACAAGCUGGACGUUCGCCGGGCCCUCAAGAUUUAUGUCGCCCGUACUGCUUCUUUCCGAAGGUUAGAAGCUCUUUUUCUAUCCUUCCAGCCUUUGACUAUGUUAUUCGAAGCCUUCCAGUCUCCUCAGUUACUAUCGGACGGUGGCUCAGAGCUACCAUUGCACUGGCCUAUGUAGCGCAGUCCCUGCAGGUGCCUGCCAAUAUCACGGUGCACUCAACCAGAAGCACCUCCACCUCCGUUGCCUGGUCCACUCAAGCGCCUCUGGAUGAGAUCUGCUGGGCUGCUACGUGGUCUUCGGUUACUCCUUUCAUCUGGCACUACCGUCUGGAUGUCUACGCGUCGGCGGACGCGGCCUUUGGCAGGAGAGUUCUGCAGCAGGUCCGGCCUCUCCCUCCCUAGGAGACAUCAUGCUUUGGUAUGUCCCAGGCAUGACUGCCGUGGGCGCCGUGUAGGAGAAUGGACGUUGGUCUUACCUGAUAUGCCUCUUCUCUGACUGGCACCCACGGCAGUCAGCCCCAUCCAUUCCGGCCGUCCCUGGGUUCGGUGGGUGGGAAGUCUUUUAUUCUCUGCUUUGUUUUACAGACACUCCAGUCUGCUGGACAGCCUCGCCUCAAAACUGGAAUACAGCAGGAAGGGGCGGUGCUGAAAGUUCCAGUGGACUCGGUCCUAUUGGAUAUCAGCCGUGUCAGUACCAGGCAUGACUGCCGUGGGCGCCAGUCAGAGAAGAGGCGUAUCAGAAGAAAUGACGAACAUCUGGUGGUUAUCACCAUGGCGAGAAGAACUUCCACCCAACACUCUCUUCGAUGAAAUUUCUGCCUUAGAAGAAGUUUAUGUUCAUCUGCAGGGCGAUUCAUCCCUUGAUAAGUGGACGUACUUUUUCAAGAAAGAGCCAGCUCCAAGUUUACUGAAACUGUUCCAGUAUUGUGCAUCAAUUCCGAUAUCAAAUGCAAACGUUGAACGAAUUUUCAGCGUCGUGGGAAAUUUGUGGACUGAUGAACGGGAUUCAGAUUUGUCCACACAGGAGGGAUAAAAGCUCAAAAUGACUGUUACAAUUUCCCCAUCUCAUGCCAAAAAUGCCCUUAACUGGAUGUAAGCCACCAGGAUCUCCUGACCAUAAGAUAUGAGAUGGCACCAUGUGAUUCACUCAGCAAGAUUUCUUUCUACCUCUUUGACAGAAAAAAGGAGCAAUUUAAGAAGCUUCCUUCCACUCCCCAAGGCACUUCAUCAAAGUAACUGAACUACAAUAAGUUGACAGGAAUGUCCUUUUAAAAAGCAAACCAACCAUGAAGAUGUCUAUAUACUAACCUGUUCUUGACUUCCAUUGUUGGUGAGAAUGAGGUUGCAGUUUUGUUCCUGAGACACUUUGCCACACUGUUGGGUAAAUGAGAAGCGGUUGGGUGAUUAUGCUGACAUUC